rnacentral:rRNA from 1 species
AAACAUAGUCUUAUGAAUUAAUAAUAUGAGAUUUAACCUGCCCAGUGAGUAUUUUUAACGGCCGCAGUACUUUGACUGUGCUAAGGUAGCAUAAUAAUUUGACUCUUAAUUGGGGCCUUGAAUGAAAGGAAUAAUGAAAUAAUUUCUGUCUUUACUUAACUAUUUAAAAAUUACUUAGAAGGUGAAAAUUCCUUUAAGUUAUAUUAUAGACGAGAAGACCCUAGGAGUUUAUAAUUUUGUUGGGGCGACAGUAUAGCAAAAUAAACCUAUAAAAAUUUAUUAAUAUAUAACGAAUAAAUUAUUUUAAUUAAAAAGAAACUACCCUAGGGAUAACAGCAUAAUUUAUUCAAUUAAGUUUGUGACCUCGAUGUUGGAUUAGGAACUUUCAAAGUUAAUAGCGUUGAUUGGUAGUUCUGUUCGA